AUCACUUCUCUGCCUUUUGGCUAAGAUCAAGUGUAAAUAUCUGUUCUUAUCAGUUUAAUAUCUGAUAGUUCCUUUCAAGGGAAUCAUGUAUUAAGUUGAUUUGAGCUUGCUCUGUCCACUCUGCACAUCAUCCUGGUAUUGACUGGACAGUAUCUCA
ensembl:snRNA U2 U2 spliceosomal RNA